GAUAGUUUAUUGACAAAGAAAGAGAAAUUAAAGAUAGCGUAAAGGAUGUCAACUUUUAAUUGAAAUAUUCUUCACACAUUUGUUGUAUUAGUUUUAGGCAUACAUUGUAGUCCUUCCAUAUGUCUAUAAAUUAUGUUGUACUUAAGCACAAGUGUAGCUAUCUUGUGAAAGCAUGCAACAGUAUUAUUACAGGAUUGACUCUCCUCCAUUGGCUGUUCCUUGUAUCCCUAGGACUCAUUCAUUCCAUAGCUGGAAGCUGGUAUCUCUCUCUCAAAGGUGUCCAUUCUUUAUCUAACCUAAACACUUAGGUGGUAAACACCAUUACCUCUUGUUCAGCAUGUGUAAAUUGGUGGUCUAUUUUUCUGGGAACAUUGCUUAAAGCAUUACAAAUGGUGUCAUUACGUUAAUAAAUUUGGUUUCAUUCUUCACUCACAAGAAAGGAGAAGGAAGAGAUUUCUUUGUGCCCUAGGCCCUGUCACUAAGACCCUUCCCAGUGUAGAGAACAGGCUUAGUUGCCCAGAGCACCUUCGGUCCCUCAGCUGAGCCACCAGGGUCUUCAACAUUGCAGGAAUUCCCAUGGUGGCCAGCAGAGAGAGCUCGAGCACCACAGACCCGGAGGGGAGGGUUCCUCUGCCUAGGCAGUGAUGGCCAGCAGAGGCGCACCAUCGGCUUUUUGACCCAGAGCACCUAGGAGCAGGAAGGGCUUCUAUUGCUCCCAGAGGAUGCAGGGCCUCUGCUGCUGCCUCAGGACAGAAAGCAGAGCUGCCUUUCCAGCGCGUUCUGCCACCCACCCCAGGGGAGACCUUGGGAGCUUUGCAGCAACUUGGCAUCUCCUGAGUCCCAGAGAGUAUCUGCCUUGUUGUACUGAGUGCUGAGGAGGGGAUGCUGGGUGGCUUCCCUGGUCAAGCUGGUUGCUGAGCUGCACAGGCACUUGCAUUUUCUGGGCUGUUCCCGUGUUUCAUUCCUCCCCUUCCCGGACAGUAUUUGAACAAGACGUAUUUUACAAAAGAACUCAUGGAUUGCGGGGUCCCACGACAUCACCUCAUAGAUGCAGCCGAUGGUUUGUUCCAGAUUCAGGCUUGUUUCCAGGAAGAAACCCUGACAGAAAUUCAGAAGAACGGGAGCUGCAUUCCGUUAGGACGUGAACACAUGAAAUGCUCGUCUCACGACCUUCUAGAUGAAUGAGCUGGGACCCAGUUUCUGAGUCCUGCUGGAACCAGAGACCGAGGUAAGGGCACAAACUGCCCCCAUGGAACCCGAAGCAGAGAGGGAUUCAGGAGCAGACCAGUUACUGCUUGGCUCCCACAAAUGGUUGCCUUGGAACUCUUGAUGGAUGAAGAGAAAACACCCACCACCACCGUUUCAUAACCCUGCACUGAAUGUGGAGACAAUAACCACCUACCCCCAAAAGGAAACUCCAGCAGGGUACAUGUAUCAAACCUAAGGUGUUGGUCAUGUAUUUUGGAUCAAUAAGUGAGGUUGUACUUUUGACUGGCUUGCAUCUUUCCUCUACCUCUAUACUCCAAGUUCCUGGCUGGCACUGGAGUUACAUCCUUAGCAUGGGCAUCAUAACCUCCAGGUGAGGUAAGUAUGAUUAUGCUUGUUUUGAAAAUCCACAAUCUGAAGCUCAAGAGAGAGUAGGUCAUGUUUCUGAGAUCACAGUACUAGUAAGUGCUAUCCUUUGGAUAACUUUGUUCUCAUGGGCUCCAAAGCCCACUUUCUUUCAUCUACCACACUGUCCCCAAGAUGAACGGGGAAAAGCGAUACUUCAGCCUGGUAUAAUAUAAGCAAUGGUACGUGUAAAGCGUCUCUCACAUUCCAGGAAAUGGGAUUAAGUUUAGUAUCUGAGUAAUUAUACCCACAGGUUGAAUUUCAAUCUCACAUCCUUUUAUUUUUUUACUGCUGCAAUUUCUGUUAUCCUUAAUGAUUAUAUAAAUGUAUUCGUCCCUUUGCAAAAUUUAGCCAGCAGGAAUACUGAGAGAGUUUCUUUCCUUUGUAACAGGUCUGAAUUAUAUAAUGAAUUCAUAAUGUCAAGAUAAUAGAUGUUAUUUUUUCCUACAAUAUAGAAGAAAAGGUCAUUGCCUUUGUUGUAAGAGUUUACCAUGUGUUCUUGGUAACAAGACUGAGCUGUAUUGCUCAAAACCAUCGUAGACUUUGAAAGUCAGUUAUUUAUACUUAAGAGAGUAUCGUUCUUUCUUUGGGUGCAGCUGGUUGUUGGAAAUAGAACUUAGGAUUUUUCU